GCUGAAUUGGCGCAAUGAUAGCGCAGCUGUCUUGUAAACAGCCGGUUCUGGGUUUGAGUCCCAGAUUCAGCUCCA
rnacentral:tRNA from 1 species